AAGAGUUGUGAUGGGCAAUAAAGGAAGGAAGCGGUGUCUGAUAACGCGGUUCUGGAUUCAAACGCAGCUUGGGAUAGAAGGAAAGUGAGCAGGAAAGCUGCUGCUGGUGUUUGUAUUUUCAUACUGCGGCUUUCCAACAGAUAUUCUUGGAGAAAUCAGCCAUGCCUAGGUUUAUAAAAAUGAACAGAAACAGGUGUUACAGUGAUGGAAAGUUUGCAGAAGAAAAUGAUCCGGGAAAAAUACCAUGCAGAAAAAGCAGCAGCUCAGAUUGCAACAGCCAGUGUACUUUGUUGGCAUUGUGAAAUACAGCAUAACAAAACCUACAGCUCCGUGGAAGAUACCCUGCAACACCAGCCAUUUUCUGCCUAUCGCUGUGUCAUCUGAGCCAUCCUUAGUUCAUUUGCUCAUUGAUGUUAUUUUUCUCAGUGCCUGUGAAACCAGGAAUGGCAUGCAGUAUGCUUGGAAUUUGUCCAGGUUCCUGUUGAGAUAGUAGAAUGGAAAGAAAAUAAAAAGUACACUGACCCAAUUUACCCAAGUAAAUGUAUUGGGCCAUGACAAGAAAUGAAAUGAACAUGUUUAUUGUUGAAUCAUUUUUCAGGUGAAGCGGCUUAGGACAAUAUAUUAUAAAUGGAGCUGGAGAUCAGGGACUAGAGACUUCUCAUCAGGGUGUCUAUUAACUUCAAAGGGUGCUUUAUGUUCCAUGCAUCAAAUAUUUAAAAGAAGAAGACUCUUAAAAAAAAAAAUAAAAAUUCUACUUAAUU
rnacentral:lncRNA from 7 species